rnacentral:rRNA from 1 species
CCCUUGUAUUAUUUUUUUAUUAAAUAAAUUUUUGAGUCAUUGAUAAUAAAAUUAAAAAUUUUGGCAGUUGAUUUUUAUAUAUUAAAGGAGCUUGUUGGGAUUAGAAUUUACACUUUAGAUUUUAAUAAUUAAAAGUUUGUUUAUUCAUUUCUGUUAUUAAAAACAUUUUAAGUAAAGUUUAUUUAAAAUUUCAGGUCAAGAUGUAGCAUUAAUUAUAAAUAAUUAGCUACAAUUAGAUAUUAUUUGGUUAAAGGUUAGUAAAAUCUUUAUAAAUUGAAUUUAGUUGUAAUAGUAUCUAUAAUAAUAUUAUGAUUUUGGGUAGUUAAUGU